rnacentral:rRNA from 1 species
CGGGCGUUAAGUUGCAGGGUAUAGACCCGAAACCCGGUGAUCUAGCCAUGGGCAGGUUGAAGGUUGGGUAACACUAACUGGAGGACCGAACCGGCUAAUGUUGAAAAAUUAGCGGAUGACCUGUGGCUGGGGGUGAAAGGCCAAUCAAACCGGGAGAUAGCUGGUUCUCCCCGAAAGCUAUUUAGGUAGCGCCUCGUGAACUCAUCUCCGGGGGUAGAGCACUGUUUCGGCUAGGGGGCCAUCCCGGCUUACCAACCCGAUGCAAACUGCGAAUACCGGAGAAUGUUAUCACGGGAGACACACGGCGGGUGCUAACGUCCGUCGUGAAGAGGGAAACAACCCAGACCGCCAGCUAAGGUCCCAAAGUCAUGGUUAAGUGGGAAACGAUGUGGGAAGGCCCAGACAGCCAGGAUGUUGGCUUAGAAGCAGCCAUCAUUUAAAGAAAGCGUAAUAGCUCACUGGUCGAGUCGGCCUGCGCGGAAGAUGUAACGGGGCUAAACCAUGCACCGAAGCUGCGGCAGCGACGCUGAUGCGUUGUUGGGUAGGGGAGCGUUCUGUAAGCCUGUGAAGGUGGCCUGUGAGGGUUGCUGGAGGUAUCAGAAGUGCGAAUGCUGACAUAAGUAACGAUAAAGCGGGUGAAAAGCCCGCUCGCCGGAAGACCAAGGGUUCCUGUCCAACGUUAAUCGGGGCAGGGUGAGUCGACCCCUAAGGCGAGGCCGAAAGGCGUAGUCGAUGGGAAACGGGUUAAUAUUCCCGUACUUGGUGUUACUGCGAAGGGGGGACGGAGAAGGCUAUGUUGGCCGGGCGACGGUUGUCCCGGUUUAAGCGUGUAGGUGUGUGUUCCAGGUAAAUCCGGUUCACUUUAACACUGAGGCGUGACGACGAGGCACUACGGUGCUGAAGCAACAAAUGCCCUGCUUCCAGGAAAAGCCUCUAAGCAUCAGGUAACAUCAAAUCGUACCCCAAACCGACACAGGUGGUCAGGUAGAGAAUACCAAGGCGCUUGAGAGAACUCGGGUGAAGGAACUAGGCAAAAUGGUGCCGUAACUUCGGGAGAAGGCACGCUGACAUGUAGGUGAAGUGAUUUACUCACGGAGCUGAAGUCAGUCGAAGAUACCAGCUGGCUGCAACUGUUUAUUAAAAACACAGCACUGUGCAAACACGAAAGUGGACGUAUACGGUGUGACGCCUGCCCGGUGCCGGAAGGUUAAUUGAUGGGGUCAGCGCAAGCGAAGCUCCUGAUCGAAGCCCCGGUAAACGGCGGCCGUAACUAUAACGGUCCUAAGGUAGCGAAAUUCCUUGUCGGGUAAGUUCCGACCUGCACGAAUGGCGUAAUGAUGGCCAGGCUGUCUCCACCCGAGACUCAGUGAAAUUGAACUCGCUGUGAAGAUGCAGUGUACCCGCGGCAAGACGGAAAGACCCCGUGAACCUUUACUAUAGCUUGACACUGAACAUUGAGCCUUGAUGUGUAGGAUAGGUGGGAGGCUUUGAAGUGUGGACGCCAGUCUGCAUGGAGCCGACCUUGAAAUACCACCCUUUAAUGUUUGAUGUUCUAACGUGGACCCGU